GAUGAACGCUGGCGGCGUGCCUAAUACAUGCAAGUCGAGCGAACGGACGAGAAGCUUGCUUCUCUGAUGUUAGCGGCGGACGGGUGAGUAACACGUGGAUAACCUACCUAUAAGACUGGGAUAACUUCGGGAAACCGGAGCUAAUACCGGAUAAUAUUUUGAACCGCAUGGUUCAAAAGUGAAAGACGGUCUUGCUGUCACUUAUAGAUGGAUCCGCGCUGCAUUAGCUAGUUGGUAAGGUAACGGCUUACCAAGGCAACGAUGCAUAGCCGACCUGAGAGGGUGAUCGGCCACACUGGAACUGAGACACGGUCCAGACUCCUACGGGAGGCAGCAGUAGGGAAUCUUCCGCAAUGGGCGAAAGCCUGACGGAGCAACGCCGCGUGAGUGAUGAAGGUCUUCGGAUCGUAAAACUCUGUUAUUAGGGAAGAACAGAUGUGGAAGUAACUGUGCACAUCGUGACGGUACCUAAUCAGAAAGCCACGGCUAACUACGUG
rnacentral:rRNA from 1 species